rnacentral:lncRNA from 1 species
CACAGCAUUUUCAUCCACACAAGAAAUAUUUGUCUACCCAAAACCACCGUUGAAAUCAGCAGCCAGGAUCACAAAAAUAAAGUUAUGCAACUGGGCUCUUUGUUUCCGAGACAAAAAGCCACACAGCACAACCUCCAGUGCAGCACUGCACAUACACACACAUGCACAGUCCUGCAGUGCCAGUUUUAUGGACAAUGCCAGCUCUGCACCUGCCCUGCAGCUAGGGAGCAGAACCGGGGGCUUCAAAGAUGAAUUUUGUAUGCACUCACACAGAGAGAGAGAGAGAGAGAGAGCGAGAGAGAGAAAUAACAAAGGUAUGGCUCAGAAAUAACCCUGAGCUCUUGGGGCACAGCUGAUUCAUCCCAAGGCUCAGUAGCCUGAGUCACCCAAUCAGUGCUGCAGGGGGGGGAAUGAUUCCACAGUCCUGGGAAGGCCUCAUCCCAUUCCAAAAUCGCUUCAGCUUCCCUGCCCCUGGGAGCAUCCCUGCUGUUGCCCCCCAGUCAUGAGCAUCCUUCCCUCCAUCCCUCACCCCAGACAGGUCCCCGGGCGCGGCGCUGCCGGUGCCCUCCCGUCAGCCGAUAUCCAUGGCAACCGCUCCCCAGCCAGGAGGAGACAGCUGAGCUGGAUUGAAAGCCUCCCUUCUGCUCCUGCCUCCAUCACGCGCUUUCCCUGCUCCCCCAGGCAGGAUAACAGACUGCACUCGGCUUUGCCUCUCCUGGCCAGUGGAUCCCAGGAACUGAUUUGCAUGCCAUGGCCCCAUGGCUCUGCAGCUGAGCCUCGGGAGGGAGGAUUUGCAGCAAACCUGUGAGCUGUGGGCUGCUCAGGGAGCACACACUGACACAGCCCCUACCACUGACUUCUGUGGAUCCGAGGUACUGACAGCCCCGGGCCAAGCCAGGCUGCCAAAAAUUUUGAACUCUGUUUGGGGAGUGUUUCCAUUCUCAUUU